GCGAAUAGGUACGCGUGUGUGACUCGAUAGCUUUACGCAAUUAGUACGUUUUCAACGCGUUUUAUAAAUAUACGAACUUUUUUUGUUUAUUCGUUUGUUUUUUAUUACAUCCUGGUCUAUGUUUUGAUGUAAUUUGUGAUAUUUAAUUGGUAUCGACUUCGCGACACUGGUGAAUGUGUAUGUUCCUGAGAUGAACACCACAGCCUCAUUCUCAUCAUACUCUUUAAAGAAGCUUUAAUAUGCAACCUUCAUCCCAAGUUAUCUACGUUGCGGUAGAGACAGCCUCUCCGCAUUGUCUUCUGAAGUCAGCCAUAGCAGCGCAUUGUGCGAAUAGCUCGGAUGUUGUAGGUACAUUGUGAUAAGAUGGCUUGAUUCAUAGCUGAGAUCAACUGUAUGUCGUACGAGUGCUCGUAUUAAGAUAAAUGUUAAAUGUACAUUUAUGCAAAAUGUCGUCGCGAAUAUAAAAAGAGUGACUUAAACACAA